rnacentral:rRNA from 1 species
CCUACGGGUGGCAGCAGUGAGGAAUAUUGGUCAAUGGGCGGAAGCCUGAACCAGCCAAGUAGCGUGAGGGAUGAAGGCCCUACGGAUCGUAAACCGCUUUUGCCGGGGAAUAACACCCGCCACUUGUGGAGGACUGCAAGUACCGUGCGAAUAAGGGCCGGCUAAUUCCGUGCCAGCAGCCGCGGUAAUACGGAGGGUGCGAGCGUUAUCCGGAUUGAUUGGGCUUAAAGGGUGCGUAGGCGGGCGUUAAAGUCAGCGGUAAAAUGGCGCGGCUCAACCGCGCCCCGCCGUUGAAACUGGCUGCCUAGAGUGCACGACAGGGAGGCGGAAUGCGUGGUGUAGCGGUGAAAUGCAUAGAUAUCACGAGGAACCCCGAUUGCGAAGGCAGCCUGCCGGCGUGCGACUGACGCUGAGGCUCGAAGGUGCGGGUAUCAAACAGGAUUAGAUACCCGAGUAGUC